ensembl:lncRNA
UAACAGGUUCCCACACAUCUUUACCCUGAAAAUGCAGCAUUUCAAGCCUUUGUCAAGGUUGAUUACUCCUUUUCCCUUUCACAGGCUUUGCUCUGCUACCAGAAGUCUCCUUAGCAUUUGUUUGAAUUCUGUCUUCAGUGCAUCUCUCAUUGCUGCCUCACCAAUCAGCUUCAUCGAUCUCCUCAUGAGGAGCAGAAGCAGCUGCUGAAUUCUGUGGAAAGGACACGAGGAGCAUGGAAGUCAGGGUACCAGAAGCCUGGCAUAAACACUGAGAGAAGAAGCAGAAAAAGUCCCGUCCUUACCAACCUCACUGCCUCUGUGUAGAGCAAUGACUAAUGCAAGUAUCUUUUGCUGACCUCUUCUUGCAAAUCUGAAGUCAGACAGAAGAUGGCAGAUUUGAUUGGUUGUUUUUCCCUUCAAUUUAGGGAUGGCCAAGAAUCCCCAGGCUCUUCCUGGGCUGCAAGUCUGAAAAGAUUUCCCGAUAUCCCAAUCCUAGAAACUAUUUUUAAAAUUCGCACUGUGCUCCAACCUCUCUGCCCUAUUUUCUCCCCUUUCUUUUAUAAAACAUUCAAAUCUUGGGCCAGGGAUUUAGCUCAGUAGUGCCGCUGCCUGCUUCUCGAGCACAAGGCCCAGAGUUCGAACCCCAGCACCAAAAAAAAAAAAUUCAAAUCUUUAUUACCCCUUCCCUCUCACUCAGAUUUCUGAUUGCCCACACAUCCUUGUGUUGACUUUAUUUUUAACCUCCAAACUUAUGCAAUACUGAAUAAUAGGAUGACAGGGAAGGGACUCAUCAUGGUGGUUUUAGACUGGUGUCAGUUUGCACUGGGAGGAGAGGCCAUCUUGCUGUAGGUGAAAAAAUGAAUAAAAAUUGUGGAAGUAUGAGCAGUGGGUGGGUGUGUAAUUGUAUCUCAGGAAACUGGGCAGGGGAGGAAAGAUAAGGAUGGUUAGGUAAUGGUUAAGCAAGCAUAAAGAACUCAUUCAUUCAUUCUUCAUUGUUUAUCAGUGUCAUGCAAAUUCACCUCUCAUAUUUUUGAUGGCAAGGAGUGCAGCUGACUGGCAGGGCCAGCUGCUAUGCUCUAGACCCUUCAUUCAUCUUCAGUGGGACCGUGCUAACCAAAAAUUUCUCCUACCUGAUGUUGGUAGGUGGAAUAGGCAGCUCAUAGAGUCUCAAGAACACCUUGAUGGUCUUGUUGAACUUCAUUAGAACUUCCUACAAUCCCAGAAUCUUCCACAAACCUUCCUACCUCCCUCUCUCCUUCACAACACUCACAAAUGUUUUAGGAUCUGAUGGUUCUGUCUGCCUUUGGGCUCCAGGUUUUCAUUAUUUUCUCCUUCCACACUUGGCCCUAAGAAAUUUCUGAUCCCAUUCAAGUUAGAAGAUCUAGUCUAGCAUGAAGUGGAAUUCUUUUGAGUGGCUUCACAGGGUAAGACCAUUGUCUCAAUGUCUCUUUUAUAGAUCCCUUUCCAAACUUCCUAGUGUGCCAGCCACAAGUCCUACUACCUUAUCACUUCUUCUCCUUGUUCAUUCUCCUGAUUUGACCCAUGACUUUUUCUCAACUCUGACCUUCCCAUUAGCUUCCCAUCUAAGCUAAAAAUGAAGCAAAAUUGUGGACUCCAAAAUGGAUGGAUAUCACACCCUAGGAUUUUGUUUCCACUGCUGAAGUGCAGCUUAUUUUGUGACCACUUUCUGUCUUAGUCACUGUCCUCAUUGCUGGAACAAAUACUAAACUCUCACAACUUAAAGAAGGAGAGGUUUAUUUUGGCUUACAUUUACAGUCCAUGAUUGGCUGGCUCCAGAGCAGGAAGGGAAUGGGAGAGAGGCAUGGUGGAGGAAAGCUGCUCUCAUCAUGGCAGCCAGGAAGCAGAGCAAGAAGAAGGAAGCCAGGGAGAGAGAUACACCCUUUCAAGUCACACCCUCAGUGGCCCUCCUCUUCCAGCCAAUCUCCAGUUCCCAACACCAACCCAGCUGCAACAUCAACACAGUCCUAUCACUCUGCACAAGCCCUGCCUCUUAAUGCAUGAGGCUCUGGGAGGCAUCAAGAUGUAAACCAUAGCACUUCCAUAAUGACAUAUUGAACGGACAGUGUCAUAGAAUGUUUAAUGUCAUAAAAUUACAAAGCCCAAAGCCAAAAAGUAGGUGUUUAGUGCUAAUCAGUGAUAGAAAAAUAUCAGAGAGAACCUUGCAAGAUGGCCUGACUGUCCAUUAACUUUCAUUUUAGCUUCCAUCUAGGCUGAAAGACAAAGGAUUAUGUGUACUCACUAAAGAGAAGACAUUCAUAAAAGAUGAUUUCCAUAGCUACUUCUCCCACACACCUGAGGCAAGAAAAAACAAUGUUUGUCUUAUAUUCCAUAGAAAUAUGGUCUCUUAUUUAGCCUAGUGAUUGUUGGAUUCAGAAGCACACUGGCUCAGCCUGGUGCCCCAGAGGAAAGCAGAAGAGAGCCCUAGGAAGCAGAAACACCAGUCCUUAAGGUCAAGAGAACAGGGGUGCCCUUGCCUCAUCAAAAAGGAGGAUGAAAAGGAGCCUACACUCCUGCCAUUGAUAUGGCAGACUGGGCUAAAUGGAUACCAUGGGAAGCAUGGGUCAUCUUAAGACUUCUUCAUCCAAGAGGGCCAUCUACACCGAUAAGGAGAUUAUAGUUAAACAGCCAGUACAAAGCAAGGUGAAGUGCAAGAGUCCUUCCAUUUGCAUCCAAUAGGAAGGAUAUCAACUGAAUACCUUCCACACAAUGGGCAUGAGCAGCUAAGGAAUGGAAAAAGAAUUCCAGACAAGAAAAAAGAAAAGACUUCAGCCCUAUUCCCUAAUCUCAUCCCUGUGCACAGAAUCUAUCCUAAGUGUCACAUAAGGAAAGGGAUUUUAUGGAGCACGUUAGAGGCAAUGGCUGAAGAAAAAAAUAAAACUAUUUUAUAUUUGUUUCAU